rnacentral:rRNA from 1 species
UACGAAGGGGGCUAGCGUUGUUCGGAAUUACUGGCGUAAAGCGCACGUAGGCGGACUAUUAAGUCAGGGGUGAAAUCCCGGGGCUCAACCCCGGAACUGCCUUUGAUACUGGUAGUCUUGAGUCCGGAAGAGGUGAGUGGAAUUCCGAGUGUAGAGGUGAAAUUCGAUAGAUAUUCGGAGGAACACCAGUGGCGAAGGCGGCUCACUGGUCCGGUACUGACGCUGAGGUGCGAAAGCGUGGGGAGCAAACAGG